UACGUAGGGUGCAAGCGUUAAUCGGAAUUACUGGGCGUAAAGCGUGCGCAGGCGGUUUUGUAAGUCUGACGUGAAAUCCCCGGGCUCAACCUGGGAAUUGCGUUGGAGACUGCAAGGCUAGAAUCUGCAGAGGGGGGUAGAAUUCCACGUGUAGCAGUGAAAUGCGUAGAGAUGUGGAGGAACACCGAUGGCGAAGGCAGCCCCCUGGGUCAAGAUUGACGCUCAUGCACGAAAGCGUGGGGAGCAAACAGG
rnacentral:rRNA from 1 species